rnacentral:rRNA from 1 species
UACAGAGGUGGCAAGCGUUGUUCGGAAUUACUGGGCGUAAAGGGCGCGUAGGCGGUCUUGUAAGUCUUGUGUGAAAUCCCUCGGCUUAACUGAGGAACUGCACGGGAUACUGCGAGACUUGAGAUCGGGAGAGGGAAGCGGAAUUCCGGGUGUAGCGGUGAAAUGCGUAGAUAUCGGGAGGAACACCUGUGGCGAAAGCGGCUCACUGGACCACAACUGACGCUGAGGCGCGAAAGCUAGGGGAGCAAACAGG